AGUGAACGCUGGCGGUAGGCCUAACACAUGCAAGUCGAACGGCAGCACAGUAAGAGCUUGCUCUUACGGGUGGCGAGUGGCGGACGGGUGAGGAAUACAUCGGAAUCUACUUUUUCGUGGGGGAUAACGUAGGGAAACUUACGCUAAUACCUCAUACGACCUACGGGUGAAAGCAGGGGAUCUUCGGACCUUGCGCGAUUGAAUGAGCCGAUGUCGGAUUAGCUAGUUGGCGGGGUAAAGGCCCACCAAGGCGACGAUCCGUAGCUGGUCUGAGAGGAUGAUCAGCCACACUGGAACUGAGACACGGUCCAGACUCCUACGGAAGGCAGCAGUGGGGAAUAUUGGACAAUGGGCGCAAGCCUGAUCCAGCCAUACCGCGUGGGUGAAGAAGGCCUUCGGGUUGUAAAGCCCUUUUGUUGGGAAAGAAAAGCAGCAGGUUAAUACCCCGCUGUUCUGACGGUACCCAAAGAAUAAGCACCGGCUAACUUCGUG
rnacentral:rRNA from 1 species